AGAGUUUGAUCCUGGCUCAGGACGAACGCUGGCGGCGUGCUUAACACAUGCAAGUCGAACGAUGAACCACUUCGGUGGGGAUUAGUGGCGAACGGGUGAGUAACACGUGGGCAAUCUGCCCUUCACUCUGGGACAAGCCCUGGAAACGGGGUCUAAUACCGGAUACCACUCCUGCUCGCAUGGGCGGGGGUUGAAAGCUCCGGCGGUGAAGGAUGAGCCCGCGGCCUAUCAGCUUGUUGGUGAGGUAACGGCUCACCAAGGCGACGACGGGUAGCCGGCCUGAGAGGGCGACCGGCCACACUGGGACUGAGACACGGCCCAGACUCCUACGGGAGGCAGCAGUGGGGAAUAUUGCACAAUGGGCGCAAGCCUGAUGCAGCGACGCCGCGUGAGGGAUGACGGCCUUCGGGUUGUAAACCUCUUUCAGCAGGGAAGAAGCGCAAGUGACGGUACCUGCAGAAGAAGCGCCGGCUAACUACGUGCCAGCAGCCGCGGUAAUAC
rnacentral:rRNA from 1 species